ACAAAUUCAAAGCAGUAUUUAUAUUUCAUGUUUAAACCAGGCCAAUAGCAAGACUACACACGUUGAAUCAUAUCCACUUAUGUUUGAAUUAAAAUUUGCUUAGACUUGAAACAAAUGUAUACAGAGAGAGAAGGAGGGGGGGGGGGGUAAAUGAGAGUCAGGCGACGCACGCAUGCGUAAUUUACAUUACCAUAUAUAUAUGGACUGAAAACCACCAGUCUUUUGCAAAACAAAAAUGCUGUCUUGUCGUUUCGUCCCUUCUUUCGCCUUGUACUGCAAGGAAAAGAUGGGGCUUUCUACAACAUCACCUUUAUUCAGGUGAAUUUCCAUUCACUACAUUUUGGGAUAAAUACCCCCCAACCUAAACAUGUUACUUGUUUUCAGUUUCUCCCAGGAGAUCAUGUUGGCUUCAUCUGUUUUUUUUUUCUUUUUUGUUUUGGGGGGGGGGGGUGUUUGAUUCAAUUCAAGCUGUUGUUG
rnacentral:lncRNA from 1 species